UCAUAUGACUAAAGAUAUGUUUUACUGACUUCAUGAUCACUGAAAAUUUUUGAAGCAGUCAUAAAAAAUUAUGCAUCUUAGUUACAUUCCUCAUUUAUUUUUUUUAGUAAGUAAAAGAUAUGAGAAUAAAAUGACACAAUUUUAGUAUUAAAGCUAGAGCUUGAUUUCCAAAUAUGUUUUUUUAUGCAGCAAAAAUUUUAUGGAUUGUUUUCUUGUUCAUCAUUUAAUGAUCAGCAAAAUAUUCUGCAAACUGCCACAGAAGAAAAUAACGCAUACAGAAGGAUGAAGAAGGAAAUAGAACAGCACAUGCUAUAAAUUGAACGAAAUAAAUACAAGGUUGUUUCAGGAAGUCAUGGCUCUACCUCCUUGUAACCUUCCUCAUAAGAGGUUCCCAUCCCCACAUGAUCUUCUGAAGGAACUUCUCUCUUGGAAGGCAGUGCUUGAAGCAGGGCAGAGGCACAUGCUGUCUUCUGGCUCCAGUUGUGCUGAGCAACUAUUUUUAAAAUUUUUUCUCAAUUGAAAGUUUCUGGAAAACUGAAAAGCAGCAGAAAGGUGGGAGAAGGCCUCAGCUGAGUUGAAAC